AAAUUGAUUGGACACUGACUUUUUUAACACAUCCAUGUUCUUCUUUCUUUUAUCUUGGCAGGUGGAGAAUUGAAUGGAGAUCUGCAUGGGGAGAGUAACGGUCCUUCAGACGCGUAUGUGGCCAUCUCCAAUGCUGAUCGGUUGCAGGCGGAGCCGGAGAGCUUGAGGAAGUGGAGAGAAGAGCAGAGCGAGAGGCUGGAACAGCUCGAUGCUAACUCCCGUAAGCAGGAGGUAGAGUGGAAGGAGAAAGCGAAGCUGGAGCUGGAGGAGUGGCACACCAGGCAGAACGAGCAGCUGGAGAAGACCAAAGUCAACAACAGGUACACAACACUAUUCGAGCAGCUGAAAUCUAUAAGAGGCCUAGUUUCUGUUUCUUGCUGUUUGAUAACAAAAGCACUAGAGAGUGCAUGGCUCUGUUGUAUUCUGGCUCAGGGUUUU